AUUUUCCUGAUGAAUUAACCCAUGUAUCAUUAUAUAAUGUCCUUUGCUGUCUCUUACGGUAGUUUUUGACUUAAAGUCUAUUUUGUCUAAUAUAAGUGUAGCCACCUGACUCACUUCUGGUUACUAUUUGCAUGGAAUAUCUUUUUCCAUUCAUUCACUUUCAAACAAUGUAUGUCCUUAAAUCUAAAGUGAGUUUCCUGUAAACAGAAUAUAGUUGGGUAAUUCUUUUUAUCCAUCCAGCUACUCUGUGUCUUUUGAUUGAGAAAUUUAAUCUAUUUAUAUUUAAAGUAAUUAUCGAUAGGGAAGGAUUUACAAUUUUUUUUUGUUCAUUGCUGUUAGUCUAGUUCUGUUAGUUUCUGAAGAAAUGAUAUUCUUAGUUUUGUGUUCCUACUGCUCCCAUAUCCCUACUAGUAACCCCUCCGAUUUUACUUUUGAUAUAUUCACCCAUCACUCCUACUAUAUUGUAAAUUCCUUUGAGGCAAUAGAUGCCUUUCAGCUAUAUGUCACUAGGCUCAAGCACAAUGUCUAGUGUAGAAUCAACUCUGAAUAAGUAUUUAGUAAAAUAAUAUGUCUAAGCUAAGGGAAAUGCUUACAUUUUUCUUUUUCCCCCAGCUUCAGCUGGUUCUCCUGAACCUUGAAUUAUCUUAGGAAAGAUUGUAUUUUCAGGAAUUAAGUCUAUUGGAGACACAGCAGGACUCCACAGCCAGCUAGAUUUGGAUAAAAUGUAGACUGCCUCAAGGCCAGUGUGUUGACUUCUGACCAGUCUCAUCUGAACCCACACCCUUUAACAUAUAUACAAAACACCUGAAGGGUUGGGCUGCCAGCUUUCUUUAGGAUGAUAGAGGGCAGGUUAAGUUUGUUUGACAUAACUAGAAGAGGUGGAGCCUCUUCCUAAUGGAGCAAGGUCCAUUUAUGGCAAACUGUGGUCCCCCACCACUAUCAGCUACUUCUGGAUAGCUUUUGCUUAAAGUUGAUGAGAUAUUGUUUCUUUCACUAGAAGAAAAUGAAUGAGUUGGUGAUCCCAAACUUUGGCCUCCAAAGGAAGCCUGGGCAGGUGACAAAUGUGUCCUAAGCGAGACUGCUGCUUCCAUGCUCAUGCUGGAGGUACAUUUGCCCUGAAAGAUGGAGCAAAAGUGCUGAAGCUUAGCACAGAGGAUUAAUGAAUAAGAACAAGGCUAUGUUAUAUCAUAUUUGUAUAGCAAUCUGGAAAAGAAAGAACGGGGCUUGUUAAGGCAAAUGGGCAAGACAAAACGGGAUAUCUAUAGGCAGCAAGGGGUCCUGCCAGUCUAAGACUAAUGGAAAACUGGCCCAUAGCCAGGUAUUUUCUCAAUGGUGUUCACUACACCAAGUCAGAGGGCUACUUUGUCUAGAUAGAGCCCAGGUAUUGUGAGUGAGUGCAGGAAUAGAAGUGUCUUCCUAAAGGUGUAUGUAUGGUGUUCUCCUGGGAGACUGUAACAGAUGUGCCCUGGGCAAGACCACGCCAGCAGCUGUCAAUGAUGCUGAGCAUACAAAUACCCUGGAGCCCAGGAAUGGGGCUGCCUCCGCCCAGUGUAUCACCUGUGCUCCAGACUGUGUACCCCAGGUCCUCUGCCAGUAGCAUCUCCAAUCACAGGUGAAAUGCCAGCCCUUCAAACAGCACAGGUGGGCCCUAGGUGUCUGAUGGAAGGAAUGAACAGAUAUAUCACGUGGCAUGCAUUUCUUCUCAGUGGUGCAGGUAUCUCCAGCAGGUUUGCUCUGGCCAGGUGGGCCCCAGUACUUAGACCAUAUGCAGGAAGAGAAGACUCUCUAAAAAUAGGUAUGAUGUUGGCCCCUUCCAUUGCAACACACGUGCCCUGGACAGGUGGGAUUCAGGUGUUCUGGCUAUAGGUAGGAACAUAAAGGCAUCCGAGCAUAGAUGCAGUGCUGGUCCCUUAGACUGCAACAGGUGUACUUUAGUUAGGUGUGCCCCAGGUGGCUUGACUGGGGCAGGAAGAGAAGGAUCUCAGCACAGGUAUGGUGCUGGUCCCUUCCACUGGAACACAAGUGCUCUGGCCAAACAGGUCCCAGGUGAUCUGAACAAAAGGGGGAACAGCCAUGUCUUCUGAAACACUCCUUCUCAGUGAUCACAAAUCUUCCAGUAGUAGUAGGCGUGUUUUGGCUGGGCUGGCACCAGGUGCUCUAACUACAGGUGGGAAGGAAAGUGUUUCCCAGGGCAGAUUUGAUUUGCUCUCAGCAGUGCCGGCUUCUCCAAUUGCAGCAGGAGUGCAUCAGGGCUGACAGGACCCUGGCGCUCAGGUCUAAGCCUCCCCCAUCAUGAGCUGUGGUACUGGCUGUCCCCCAGCCAUUUUGCUCCAAAGCUAAGCGAUCUAGAUGUGGUGGUAGACUCUGCGUGGUAGACCCAAUGACCCCAAAGCUUUUGCUAUCCAUAAGGGCUUCAGAUCCCACAAAUACAAAUUGGCUUGGAUUGGCAUCAGCAAGAAAUGAGCAACAGUCCUCAGUGUUGUGCUUUCUGGUAGCAUUUCAUGGCAAGAGUAAGAGUGUCCACACCAAUGGGUAAAACACCCGAGGCACCACCAUGGGCUGCCUGAAUGCUGACAUUGAUGCCAAAGUGGACACGGGAGUGUUUAGUUCCCAAAAGCCAACUGAGUUGUGCUGCCAUUGGGUUCUAGGGCUGCAGUAGAGGUUAAGUGUGAAGGGUUUUCAGGGGCUGGCAGGUUUCUCAAAGGGAAACAGCUGUUAACAUUGCAGGGAGAGACAGGAUGAUAACAGAUGGGGACAUGGGCAUGGUACCCAUGUUGAUUUCCUUAGAGGCAAAGUCAGGCGGAGACACCAAGUCUGAAGACGGGUUGUAUACUGGAGUGGAGGUGACUGCAGAAUCAGUGGUAGGUGGGCCAGAAAAGACAGGGCACUGGGGGGAGUGGUUCUCUGGCAAGGCCCUGAAUCAGGACCCCCAGAUUUCAGCUGGUAAGUGUUUCCUGAAUCAAAAGCAAGCUUAGAAGUUCAAGUAGGGCUGCUGACCAUAAAAGCAGGUGGGCUGGUGGGGAUGAUGGCCUUUGCAGGGGAUAUCCGCUCCACACUGGGAUGGGCCUGGUCCAAUGGGAGGAAGCUCACCCCGGAUCUUGAGGGAGACCUGAAGAAGAAAGCUUGGAAGGAAGAGUACUAUCCACAUCAAUUAUAACACAGUCCAGGCAGGCUGGGAAGUCCAGUCUGCAGACAGGCUGCCUGGCAUGCUAGAAGUGACUGCAGAAGCAGUGAUGGGUUGGCUGGUAAAGACAGGGGUACUGGUGCAAGCAACUUGAGGAGGGGUCUGUAAGAAAAGGGGAGGAGAAUCCACCUGCACAGGUGUAUAUGACUCCAUUCUGCAGAAGGUAAGCUUUAAGGAGAGGGAGAAAGUUCUAGGACGUGUGGGUUAGGCAGAAGUAGAGGAUCCCGCAAGUAUGACCGAGGGACUGGAAUGCAGAGGGCCCCUGUUCUCAUUAUUAAGUGGAAUAGCAAAUAUAGGUUGGAAUCCAAAGUGAGAAAUAGCAGGAAGAGCAAAAGGAGAGUCAGGAACUGUGCAUCUCAUUUCAUGAUCAGUAUCUGAUGUGUGUGUAGGUACAGGGUCAGAGAGUAUGAGUGGCCUAACAGGCCAGCCAAGUCAGUGACUGCUAAUUUGGUAGUUUCUGGAAUCUGCAAGGAAAAGGUGACCAAUGGCAAAGGAUCUGUGGCCUCCACAGCAGGUAGGGAGAACAGGAAGGCUGAGCUGCUACGCUGUCUGAAGGGACCUGAGAAUUAUUCUCCCACCCUGAGGUUCCCUUCGUGUUCAGGGUUCUCCAAGCUAAGGUCUUCUGCAGUAACUAUGCAGGGAAGGUAGGAGAUGGGGGCAGCUCUCCUCACUCUCACAACAGUGGCAAUGGGGGCAGCAAUGGCAGCAGCAGGGGCACUGACAAUUUCUGUUUACAGAGACUACAACUGGCAGAUGUGAGUGGAGAAUUUCUCAUUGACAGAGUAUCUGAAAGCUUUCCUCUGUGAGUUGCUGUCUUUGACUUCAAUGUGGCUGGAGAGCUGAGUUGAUAAUGGCCUUCAUCAAGCUCUUCCUUUCUCUGGCAGCAGGAAGGAGAAUGUGGCUGGCCAUACAGCGCUGCUGCACCUCCUUCACUGCCAUGAAGAGGCAGGAAGCCUCUAGCAGGCAGGACUAUCUGGGCUGGUGAUGGCAUGAUCUUUUGUGAACGAACUCAUAGAAGACAUCUGUAAAAUCUAACCUCAGCUGUCUUCUGAGUGAUUGGAAUAGAGGCUUAUCUUCAGGGGUUCAGGACUGCUCCCAAAUAUGUGAUGCUACUGCUGGUUGCUAGGGACCUAGAUGCUGAUGGUACUCUCCCACUGCUAUAGGGGCCCCUUUUCUCUAACUGCGUCUUCUCCCACACUGAGGAUCUUCCUCCUUCAGUAUCCAUUUCCUUCAUGCCCCUGGUAUCUUCUUCUUGGUCUCCUUUAAGCAAGGAUCUGGGGGGAGGUGUGAGUGGCUGUCCCAGGUCUUAGAGGUGACGAGGGAGGAGAGUCCAUUUGUGCCUUGGAGGAGGGAUCUUUGUCAUUCUGGAGUGGCCACUUUGUGGUACAAGCAGACAGCAAUGUCAUUUUCAGAGAGUCCCCUUAGGAUCGCCAGAGAGGAACACUGAGGUUUCCUGAUGGGAUACUGUCCUUUAGGGGUAUAUGACACCAGGAUCCUGGUAGAACUACCAGGGAAAAAGCCAAAGUGGAGUGAUCCCAGCCAGAAGGGGGAGCACGCUGGGUCAGGUUGAACGAGUGCAUGAUAGCAUGGCCAGGCAUGCGAGCAGGAUGGGGGCAAACCUUGCUAAGCAAGUUGCCUAUGAAGGGCAGUUUGUGCGCUGCCGGGUCCUUGGAGGAUAUGACAUUUGGAGAGGUCUCCUCACUACCUGCUACCUCCAUGGCAAACCAGGUACUGUUCAGCUUGAUGCAUGUGACACACGGGACAUGCGACAGAGAAAAAGUGCCCCAGCUAAGGGCAUAUUGCCAGCAAAAUGCAUGAGGAAAAACAUCGAAGGGCAAGAGGUCCAGAGGCUGAACCCCAGCAGGACUCUCUAGUACUUCUUGGCAUUCCUAUCAUGGGUUGCAGGUGUUUGGCACCAGACAGUCUCGGUGGCAAGGUGGGACUCUCCAAGACUGAACUCCAGGAGCCUACAUAACUGUCACUUCCAUGUCUGCAGGCACCUCAGUGCCACAGGGCAAAUUUACCUCAGCCUGUUCCUUUCAGACAACUGCUGCAGAUGACACCAGUUCACCCUCACCACCUUUCCCCACUCCUCCAGGCUCGUAGGUCAAGGCUCCAACACCAGCUCCUCCAGGGGCUUCCCUAGCUCUUCUUCAGUUCCAGGAGCUGGGUGCACCUUUUCUGUGGCCACCCGGGACAGGCGACUAUCCCAAGCAUCUCCAGGGGGCUGCUAGGCUUUCUGAGGUGGCAACAAGGAUACCACAACACAUUCUUUCCUGGCAGGCAGUUUAUCUUCACUUAUUUUUACAAAUUUAGUAAGACAGCAUUUAAGCCAUAAAACCUUCCUUGUGUCACAUGUGUACUAGUGGCCCACAUUCCACACUGGGUGGAAUUUGAACCCUGAUUGUCUGAUUCCAGAGCUCAUACAUUUAACCACCAGACUAUGGUGGCUUCCCAUCAUGUAGACAUCACAUAUUACCAGUUUUGACAGUCUGUAGGGUACUUAGUACAAUUACACCUCCAUAAUGAACACAGGCACUGCCUAUGGCUUUUCUCCUUUAUUCUCUUAAUAUGGUGAAUUACAUUUAUUUUUUAAAUCUUAAACCAACCUUGCAUUCUGGGAAAAACCCCACCCAAAAGUGGUCAUGUUAGAUCAUACAUAUUUAUAAUUGUUAUAUCUUCUUGAUAAGCUGACCCUUUUAUCAGUAUAUAAUGUCUCUCCUUUUAAUAGUAAUUUUUUUUUUCUUGAGACAGAGUCUCACUCUGUCACCAGGCCGGAGUACAACGGCGUGAUCUCGGUUCACUGCAACCUCUGACUCCCUGGUUCAAGUGAUUCUCCUGCCUCAGCCUCCCGAGUAGCUGGGAUUACAGGCACAUGCCACCACGCCCAGCUAAUUUUUGUAUUUUUGGUAGAAACAGGGUUUCACCGUGUUGGCCAAGAUGGUCUCGAACUCCUGACCUCAUGAUCCACUCGCCUCGGCCUCCCAAAGUGCUAGGAUUACAGGCAUGAGCCACCAGGCCUGGCCCUUUUAAUAGUUUUUAACUUUAAGUCCAAUAUUAGUAUAGCCACUUUAGCUCUUGUUUGGUCAUUAUUUUUAUUGGAUAAUAUUUCCCAUCCUUUCACUUUCAACCUAUAUGUGUCUUUGGAUCUAAACAAGUCUUGUUUAGACAGCAUAUCAUUGGGUCUUGGUUUUCAUCUAUUAUGCCAAUAUCCACAUGUUUAUUGGAGAGUUUAAUUCAUUUACAUUUUAAGUAAUUACUGAUAAGGUAGAACUUCAACCAUUUUAUUUGUUUUCUGUAUAUCUUAUGCCUUUUUUAUUCUUUUCCUCCACUACUGCCUUUUUUGUGUUUAACUGAUAUUUCAUAAUAAAUGUUUUUGAUUCCCUCUUUAUGACCUUAUGUAUAUUUUUAAAGAUACUUCCUUGUGGUUUCCAUGGGAAUUAUAUUUAACAUCCUAUAACAAUGUAGUUUGAAAUUAUUGCAAGUUAACUUAAGUGGCAUAUAAAGUAUCUAAUCCUAUACAGCUCCUCCCCCUUUAUCUUGUCACAGAUUACCUCCUUAUAUAUUGUGUGUCCAGUAAUAUACACUUAUAAUUUUUAUGUACUCAUCUCUUAAAUUAUGUAAGAAAAAGUGAAUUUACAAGCCAAACGCACAGCAACACUGGCUCCUAUAUUUGCU
rnacentral:lncRNA from 10 species